rnacentral:rRNA from 1 species
AGCUCCAAUAGCGUAUAUUAAAGUUGUUGCAGUUAAAAAGCUCGUAGUUGGAUUUGUGGCAAUGCCCGUGGUCCAAUUUUUUGGUACUAUCGGGUGUAGCCAUCUUUGGGUGGAACCUGCGUGGCAUUAGGUUGUCGCGCAGAGGAUGCCCAUCGUUUACUGUGAAAAAAUUAGAGUGUUCAACGCAAGCGAUUGCUUUUGAAUAUUUCAGCAUGGAAUAAUAAGAUAAGACCUUGGUACUAUUUUGUUGGUUUGCGCACCGAGGUAAUGAUUAAUAGGGACAGUUGGGGGUAUUCGUAUUCCAUUGUCAGAGGUGAAAUUCUUGGAUUUCUGGAAGACGAACUACUGCGAAAGCAUUUACCAAGGAUGUUUUCA